GCAGGGGUGGCAGAGCCUGGUCAAACCUGAAAGAAGGGGCUAAAUGCGCGGGACUCAAGAUCCUGUGCCUUAGGGCUUCGUGGGUUCAAAUCCCACCCCCUGCACCA
rnacentral:tRNA from 1 species